rnacentral:rRNA from 1 species
AGGGCACCACCAGGAGUGGAGCCUGCGGCUUAAUUUGACUCAACACGGGAAAACUCACCCGGCCCGGACACCGUAAGGAUUGACAGAUUGAGAGCUCUUUCUUGAUUCGGUGGUUGGUGGUGCAUGGCCGUUCUUAGUUGGUGGAGCGAUUUGUCUGGUUUAUUCCGAUAACGAACGAGACUCUGGCCUACUAAAUAGUGACAGGAUUAUUACUGUCCUGGAUACUUCUUAGGGGGACAAGUGGUUUUCAGCCACACGAAAUUGAGCAAUAACAGGCCUGUGAUGCCCUUAGAUGUCCGGGGCUGCACGCGCGCUACACUGAAGGAAUCAGCGUGCUAAAACCAUUGUCGAAAGGCAUUGGUAAACCCAUUAAAAUCCUACGUGAUUGGGAUCGGGAAUUGCAAUUAUUUCCCUUGAACGAGGAAUUCCCAGUAAGUGUGGGUCAUAAGCUCGCGUUGAUUACGUCCCUGCCCUUUGUACACACCGCCCCGUCGCUGCCCAGGACUGAGCCGUUUCAGA